GAUGAACGCUGGCGGCGUGCCUAAUACAUGCAAGUCGAGCGAACGGACGAGAAGCUUGCUUCUCUGAUGUUAGCGGCGGACGGGUGAGUAACACGUGGAUAACCUACCUAUAAGACUGGGAUAACUUCGGGAAACCGUAGCUAAUACCGGAUAAUAUUUUGAACCGCAUGGUUCAAAAGUGAAAGACGGUCUUGCUGUCACUUAUAGAUGGAUCCGCGCUGCAUUAGCUAGUUGGUAAGGUAACGGCUUACCAAGGCAACGAUGCAUAGCCGACCUGAGAGGGGGGUCGCACACAGGGGAAGAGAGACAGGGCCCAGACUCCGAGGGGGGGCAAAGGUAGGAAAUCUUCCGCAAGGGGCAAAAGCCGGAGGGAGAAACGCGGGGGGAGGGAUGAAGGUCUUGGGAUCGUAAAACUUUUUUAUUAGGAAAAAAAAUAGGUGAAAGUAACUGGGAACAUCUUGAGGGUACCUAAUAAAAAAGCCACGGCUAACUACGUG
rnacentral:rRNA from 1 species